AUGAUCACUUCAGCAGCAUAUAGACUAGAGCUGGCAUGGCAGAGAAGACUGGCAUGUCCCCUGCGCAAGGAAGACAUGCAAAUUCGGGAAGCAGUCCAUAUUUUU